GUUCCAUCUUCUCCCUCCACGGACGCUGCUGCCGUCGCCGCCGCCAUGCCGCACGCGUAGCCACAGAGCAUCCCGCACCAAGCCAUCGCGACCGCCGGCUCCGCCGUUGACUGCUUCGUCAUCCACUUCAAUCUGUUGGAGCCGGGAGCCCUUGCAUCAAGCCCUGUGACGUCGUCCUCUUCCUCGGCCCCAACGAACUUCGUCAUCGAUUCCGGCAACGUCGAGCCCUCCCCGAGCCCACCUUGCUCAUCUACAGGCUCACUAUGCCGGAGCCCAGGAGCCAGACGCCACCGUUGACGACGACUCCUACUACACCGGAGGUGCCUACUACUACGUGCAGCCCGCUGACGACGACCAAGAGUAGUUAGGAGGAUCCCAGGCAGGAGGCCUGCGCCUCUUUCGAUCUGUAUCCCAGUUUGUGCUAGCCUUCUUAAGGCGAACUUGUUUAACUUAUGUCUGUUCUCAGAUAUUGCUGCUUCCGCUGACUCGUCUAUGAUCGAGCACUUGUAUUCGAGCCCUCGAGGCCCCUGGCUUGUAUUAUGAUGCUUGUAUGACUUAUUUAUGUUUUAGAG
rnacentral:rRNA from 1 species